AGAGUUUGAUCAUGGCUCAGGACGAACGCUGGCGGCGUGCUUAACACAUGCAAGUCUACGAGAAUAAGGUAGCAAUAUCUUUAGUAAAGUGGCGCACGGGUGAGUAACACGUAAGUAAUCUACCUUUAGGUUUGGGAUAACCCCAAGAAAUCGGGGCUAAUACUGAAUGAUGCAGCGGCACCACAUGGUGAUGUUGUUAAAGUUCUUGAAGCGCCUAAAGAUGAACUUGCGUCUGAUUAGCUAGUUGGUAGGGUAACUGCCUACCAAGGCAACGAUCAGUAGCUGGUCUGAGAGGAUGAUCAGCCACACUGGAACUGAGACACGGUCCAGACUCCUACGGGAGGCAGCAGUGAGGAAUAUUGGGCAAUGCCCGCAAGGGUGACCCAGCAACGCCGCGUGGAGGAUGAAUGCCGUAAGGUUGUAAACUCCUGUUAGAGGGGAAGAACAGUUCCGGUAACACCGGAAUUUGACUGUACCCUCAGAGAAAGCCCCGGCUAACUACGUGCCAGCAGCCGCGGUAAUACGUAGGGGGCUAGCGUUGUCCGGAUUUACUGGGUGUAAAGGGCGCGCAGGUGGGUUGGCAAGUCAGUGGUGAAAUCUCCCGGCUUAACUGGGAAACUGCCUUUGAUACUGCCAAUCUUGAGUACGGAAGAGAGAAGCGGAAUUCCAGGUGUAGUGGUGAAAUACGUAGAUAUCUGGAAGAACACCAGUUGCGAAGGCGGCUUCUUGGUCCGUUACUGACGCUCAGGCGCGAAAGCGUGGGUAGCAAACAGGAUUAGAUACCCUAGUAGUCC
rnacentral:rRNA from 1 species